AUUUUAGAAUUUUAGUUGUGUUGGUGCGUGUGUAGAAUGUGGUAGGUUUAAUUUUUCCGUUUAUUCUAACCUAUAAACUGUUCUUGGUUUUGUUUUUAACUAUAACAUGUUUUUAUAAAUAAUAUACCGCCGAUUAUUUUCAUUUUGAUUGAAUCCUUAAUUUGUGUGUCGCUUUUUGUGUCGUGUACAUCUGUGUUCUUUGAUUCCCUCCGAGAUGGACGGCACUAAUAUUCGAAUGACCGAGGAGAGAUUUUACCCUGAGGGUGCUCAGGUGAAGGAAUUGGAUGAUGGACGACCGUGCCUUAAUUGCAACAGUUGUGAAAACGGCUACAAGCCUCACAUUUGGAGAACGUUUUGUUGAGGAAGACUGUUUUAUUUUUAUAACAAGGUCGGGAUAUCGUUGUUUCCUGUUUCAAUCUGAACACCGGAAACACCU